GACGAACGCUGGCGGCGUGCUUAACACAUGCAAGUCGAACGGAAAGGCCCUGCUUUUGUGGGGUGCUCGAGUGGCGAACGGGUGAGUAACAAGUGAGUAACCUGCCCUUGACUUUGGGAUAACUUCAGGAAACUGGGGCUAAUAACGGAUAGUAGCCCCUGCUGCAUGGUGGGGGUUGGAAAGUUUCGGCGGUUGGGGAUGGACUCGGGGCUUAUCAGCUUGUUGGUGGGGUAGUGGCUUACCAAGGCUUUGCGGGGUAGCCGGCCUGAGAAGGUGACCGGACACAUUGGGACUGAGAUGCGGGCCAGACUCCUACGGGAGGCAGCAGUGGGGAAUGUUGCACAAUGGGCGGAAGCCUGAUGCAGCAACGCCGCGUGCGGGAUGACGGCCUUCGGGUGGUAAACCGCUUUCGCCUGUGACGAAGCGUGAGUGACGGUAAUGGGUAAAGAAGCACCGGCUAACUACGUG
rnacentral:rRNA from 1 species